rnacentral:rRNA from 1 species
AGAGUGAACGCUGGCGGUAGGCCUAACACAUGCAAGUCGAACGGCAGCACAGUAGGAGCUUGCUCUUACGGGUGGCGAGUGGCGGACGGGUGAGGAAUACAUCGGAAUCUACCUUUUGGUGGGGGAUAACGUAGGGAAACUUACGCUAAUACCGCAUACGCCCUUCGGGGGAAAGCCGGGGACCAGCAAUGGCCUGGCGCUGAUAGAUGAGCCGAUGUCGGAUUAGCUAGUUGGUGAGGUAAUGGCUCACCAAGGCGACGAUCCGUAGCUGGUCUGAGAGGAUAGAUCAGCCACAC